rfam:Gossypium arboreum cultivar AKA8401 contig_42032_3, whole genome shotgun sequence.
AAACCAUGAUAAGGGGCCUUACGCAAAAUUAGCUUAAAGCGCUCUCAUGCCUCAUAGAGUGUCUCACCUUCAAGUUGUCAAAAAUUGGCAAUAUCCAUUCUUAGUAU